AUGGAGGCGUUCGGCGGCUUCUUCGUGGACGAGAAGGCGGCGCGUGUGGAGAACAUCUUCCUCGAGUUCCUUAAGCGGUUCAAGGAGCCGGAUGCGGCGGAGCCGUUUUACGAUGUAGAGAUGGAGGCGAUGCGGUCGCGUGAGUCCACCACCAUGUACGUCGAUUUCGCGCACGUCAUGCGCUUCAACGACGUCCUCCAGAAGGCCAUCUCCGAGGAGUACCUUAGGUUUGAGCCGUACCUUCGCAAUGCGUGCAAGAGGUUUGUGAUGGAACACAGAGCUGGCGAGAACCGUGCGCCAAUAAUCUCCGACGACAGCCCCAACAAGGAUAUUAAUAUUGCCUUCUACAACAUUCCGAUGCUGAAAAGGUUGAGAGAGCUGGGGACAGCAGAGAUUGGUAAGCUCACAGCUGUAACGGGGGUUGUAACAAGGACGAGUGAGGUCCGACCUGAGUUAUUGCAAGGCACCUUCAAGUGCCUUGAUUGUGGAAAUGUUGUUAAAAAUGUAGACCAGCAGUUCAAGUAUACUGAGCCAAUAAUAUGCGUUAAUGCAACAUGCCAAAACCGAUCAAGAUGGGCCCUUCUCCGUCAGGAUAGCAAAUUUACAGAUUGGCAGCGGGUCAGGAUGCAGGAGACAUCAAAAGAGAUACCUGCUGGGUCACUACCUCGUUCCCUGGAUGUCAUUCUGCGGCAUGAGAUUGUUGAGAAGGCUAGAGCUGGGGAUACGGUCAUAUUUACCGGAACGGUUGUUGCUGUUCCAGAUGUUAUGGCAUUAACUUCACCUGGUGAGAGAGCAGAGUGUCGCCGGGAAGGUCCUCAGCGGAAGAAUGGGUCAGGUGUCCAAGAAGGUGUAAAGGGCUUGAAGUCCCUUGGAGUACGAGAUCUCUCAUAUCGCCUUGCUUUUGUGGCCAACUCAGUGCAGGUGGCGGAUGGCAGGAGGGACGUGGACAUCAGGGACCGUGACAUAGAUGGUGAUGGCAGCGAGAGACAGAAGUUCACUGAAGAGGAGGAGGAUGAGGUUGUUAGGAUGAGAAACACUCCUGAUUUUUUUAAUAAGAUAGUUGAUAGCAUAUGUCCCACUGUCUUUGGUCAUCAAGAAAUAAAGAGGGCACUUCUCCUUAUGCUCUUGGGUGGUGUUCACAAGAUAACACAUGAAGGCAUAAACCUUAGAGGAGACAUAAAUGUCUGUAUUGUUGGAGAUCCAAGUUGUGCAAAGUCUCAGUUUUUAAAAUACACUGCUGGUAUUGUUCCGCGAUCUGUUUACACAUCAGGGAAGUCCUCGUCUGCUGCUGGAUUGACAGCAACUGUUGCGAAAGAACCUGAGACCGGUGAAUUUUGUAUUGAGGCAGGUGCACUCAUGUUAGCUGAUAAUGGCAUCUGUUGUAUUGAUGAAUUUGAUAAGAUGGAUAUUAAGGAUCAGGUUGCUAUACAUGAAGCAAUGGAGCAGCAAACCAUCAGCAUAACAAAAGCUGGAAUACAAGCAACUUUGAAUGCACGAACUUCAAUACUGGCAGCAGCAAAUCCCACAGGAGGACGGUAUGACAAGUCAAAACCACUUAAGUACAAUGUGGCGCUACCUCCAGCCAUUCUUUCAAGAUUUGAUCUGGUAUACAUCAUGAUUGAUGAACCUGAUGAAAACACUGACUACCACAUUGCUCAUCACAUUGUGAGAGUCCAUCAAAAACGUGAAGAAGCACUUUCCCCCGCAUUUAGCACUGCAGAAUUGAAGCGCUACUUUGCUUUUGCAAAGUCUUUGAAACCUCAGUUGAGUUCUGAAGCAAAGAAAGUUCUGGUCGAAUCAUAUGUUGUCCUCCGUAGAGGUGACAGUACUCCUGGUACUAGGGUUGCUUACAGGAUGACAGUUAGGCAACUGGAGGCGCUAAUCAGGCUGUCAGAAGCUAUUGCCAGAAGCCAUUUGGAAAGAAUUGUUCUCCCUGCUCAUGUCCGCAUGGCAGUUAAAUUACUCAAAACAUCCAUAAUAAGUGUGGAAUCAAGUGAAGUUGACCUAUCUGAUUUUCAAGAUGCACCUCUUGAUCAUGAUGAUGAACAGCCAAUACAAGGAGAUGCUACUCAACAAGAUGGUGCAGAUGAACCAGCAGAGGUGAUUAAGAAGAAACUGGUUAUUACUGAAGAACAUUUCCAGAGAGUUACACAAGCUUUGGUCAUGAGACUGCGGCAACACGAAGAAUCAGUCAAGAAAGACGGGGAUGGUCUGGCUGGCAUGAAGCAAGGGGAUCUAAUCAUUUGGUAUGUUGAGCAGCAGAAUGCCCAAGGCGCAUAUAGUUCUACAGAAGAGGUGAAGGAGGAAGUAAAGUGCAUCAAGGCCAUUAUAGAGAGGCUGAUACAGAGGGAAGGCCAUCUUGUGGUCAUAGAUGAAGGAACAGCGGCAGCAGAAGGUGCUGCGGCAAGGGCAUCGGAGCACAGAAUCCUGGCUGUUAACCCGAACUACGUCAUUGAUUGA
rnacentral:rRNA from 1 species